CACAAGCUUCUGGAAGGCUGAAAUUGCGCCAAAAAAAUCAUGAGAUGUUUGGUGUUUAGCAGCUGGCUUAUUUGGAAUAUCUGUCCAGUUAAAAAAUGGCUCCAGCAGUUAGAAACAGGUGAUGGCACGGCAGAAUGGCUUUAUGGAAACUUCAAGCAUAUGACAGCUUAAUUUUCUUCCACAAGGCUGUGAGACCAGUUUGAAGCCUUAGGUCAUGCUCCCCAUCAUAUGUCCCAUGCAAGCCCAACCCAGAAAAUGUACAGCUAACAUUCAUGGUGAUGCUAAAGUUAUCAGAUCUACAGCACCAGUUGACAUACGGCCAACACUUAGUGUCUAGUUCAUUGUCAAAAGAAAAUGUUUGUGCCUCUUUUGUUACAACAGACGGCUUAUUUGGAAUAUCUGUCCAGUUAAAAAAUGGCUCCAGUGGUUAGAAACAGGUGAUGGCAUGGCAGAAUGGCUUUAUGGAAACUUCAAGCAUAUGACAGCUUAAUUUUCUUCCACAAGGCUGUGAGACCAGUUUGCAGCCUUAGGUCAUGCUCCCCAUCAUAUGUCCCAUGCAAGCCCAACCCAGAAAAUGCACAGCUAACAUUCACGGUGAUGCUAAAGUUAUCAGAUCUACAGCACCAGUUGACAUACAGCCAACACAUAGUGUCUAGUUCAUUGUCAAAAGAAAUGUUUGUGCCUCUUUUGUUACAACAGAUCUAGCAAUGUGAAGCGAGGGGCCAUAAUGUAUAAAGAGAGGGCUUCACCUCCAACUGCGUCUGCUGAAGAAAUGCUUCUGUCCAAUCACUAGACUACUGGCAAAUGAGAAGAAUGUUGACCUCACAUCCAGGCUGCAAGUUGGUAAGGACAGAGUCUGGGGCUACUGUUGCCUUUCCGAUAUAUUAGAUUCAAUUUUGUAACAAACUGCUUUAUAAAUUAUUAAGCAGAAACCUAAUGCUGCUGUUAAGCUAAGGUUUUAUGAUUUGAUGUUUGUUCAUUUGCCACAACAAAGGCAGGAGGUAUUCAUUGUAUUCUGUGUUCACAGGCAGUGGGGACAGUGCGGCCGACUGCUCUCACCUCCUGUGAUCAUGGAAAGUUAGGCAGAUUCCAAUCUGUACCUCAAAAUGCCUUUUGGCAUUUUUUUUUUCUUUGUCUGUUGUGAAUGUAUUUCUGUCUCCUGUGCAUCUCCCUUUAACAUUUUAUUUAAGGUUAUCCGGUCAAGCUGCUGUUUGCUGCAUGAAAAGGACACAUCUGCUACAUCAUUCUGCUACACAAGAUGAGAUUUCGCUGGGACCACAUUCAAGUAUGGCAAGGAUUCAACCAGAUUCAUCAGUCCUCAGACGUGUUCAGAACGCCACGUUGGUGUUUUAACAGCUGGAGUCCGUGUGUUUUGCGUAACAGCUGCUCUCACAACUCGUGUACCCAUGGAAAGGGAUUGUCCUUGGCGUUCCUGUUUGAACUAUAAACCUGGCUAUUUAAUAAAAUGCUAAUAAAGUGUUUUUGAUUAUCUGUUCUAUUAAUAAAGCUGUGACUGAUCUUA